rnacentral:rRNA from 1 species
ACGUAGGGUGCAAGCGUUAAUCGGAAUUACUGGGCGUAAAGCGUGCGCAGGCGGUGUUGUAAGACCGAGGUGAAAUCUCCGGGCUCAACCUGGGAACUGCCUUUGUGACUGCAACGCUAGAGUACGGCAGAGGGGGAUGGAAUUCCGCGUGUAGCAGGGAAAUGCGUAGAUAUGCGGAGGAACACCGAUGGCGAAGGCAAUCCCCUGGGCCUGUACUGACGCUCAUGCACGAAAGCGUGGGGAGCAAACAG